UUUCCCUUUUUAUAAAAUCACAUGACUUCGCCAGGCAUAUGCACAUAUAUACUCAGUAUCAGCUCCAACUACACUUGGAUUCGGUUCUCACCAAAUCACUGAAAUUUCUGAAAAAACAAUAAUCUACAUGGCAGGUCCAAAAGACAUUCAGUAAGAGUAGGAGUUUCCUGGAGAAAAGCACGGAUUUAGGUCUGAAGCUGAAGAACUACAUGGUCAAUAAAGCAGCAGGCCUUACGUCUGAAAUGAUACAGCCCUUGUGCCAACAAAGUGCUGAAGGAAAACAAAAAGUGGUUGACGGCAGUAACAAGUCCAACAGAACUUGCCCCAAUGGCAUCCCAUAUGUUCGAACAAGUUUAUUUAUACGUGAAUCAACGAUGCGACAAAUUUAAGUCAUUCAUCUUCAGAUGAUGAAGUGAUAAAACAAUCAGCGAUUGUGAUUUUUCCUACUUGUAGUGGUGUGCUCACAUCAAUCGAGGUCUUGGAGCGAGGAGAAAGCUCAAAAGGGUGAAAGCGUGAAUGUGAAGCAAUAAGAUAUGCUAGCCGUACACCAGAAGAAAUCCAAGCAAGGCGAGUAAGUGUUAGAGCAUGUCAGCAAAAUAUGACACCUAAAGAGAAGGAGCCCGUCCCAGAAUGUGAGUGCUUGCUGGAGAUGAAAAUCAAAGAGAUCACACCCCAUUGGUACAGGUGAGUGGAGUGGAGGUGUACGUUGCACUGAGGGUGAAGCAGUGGCUGAAAGUUACGACUGGUUUUCUG